rnacentral:siRNA from 1 species
CUUACCCGCUGAAACUGGUAA